rnacentral:rRNA from 1 species
GUCCCGGCCCUAAAACGAUGAACACUUGGCGUGGCGGGUUUUACCCCCGCUGUGCCGGAGCUAACGCGUUAAGUGUUCCGCCUGGGGAGGUACGGUCGCAAGGCUGAAACUCAAAGGAAAUUGACGGGGGCCCGGCACAAGCGGUGGAGCAUGUGGUUCAAUUCGACGCAACGCGAAGAACCUUACCUGGGCUCGAAGCGCAGUGGAAUCCGGAUGAAAGUUCGGCGCCCGCAAGGGCCGCUGCGGAGGUGCUGCAUGGCUGUCGU